rnacentral:rRNA from 1 species
AUGAAGAAGAUGCUACAUGCAAAAGGAGAUCCUCUGCUAGACUACUCCUGCAAGGACGGCCAGCAUGCUGCACCCCUUACUUCUAAACACAUGAAGAACUCAACAUAUGGAGCUACGGACUCGGAGCAUGGAAAAGGUGGAGCGGGUUUUGUCGUCCGGGACCACCAGGGGGCGUUCGUGAGAGCGGGGUGUUCACGUCACGAUGGAGUUACAGACCCCCUCACGAUCGAGCUUCUCGCUUGCAGAGAUGCGCUAGCAACAGAGGAGAUUUUAGGGCUUCAGUAUGUUGAGGUGGAGACGGACUGUCAGCAAAUUCAGAGUCUAUGGAAAACUCCACAGAAGUCGAAUUGUUUCCAUCUCAUGAGAGAGAUGCAGGAUAUGAGUAAUCUUCUUCAGGGAUUCAAGCUACGGUUCGCUAGGCAUGCUUUAAAGCUUUCUGUAUCUAUGCUUGUGUUCGAUGUAAUCCCUGGAUGGCUGUCUCCACCGUGUAGCUAG